UCCCCGGAGGCGCCGGCACAGAGCGUCUUCCCUGGGUACCAGCUCUGGCUCAGCGGUGACCGGCGUCUCGCCCUCACGGAGGGGUGGGCCCGGGGCCGCCGGCCUGGCUGCUGACGGGGAUGAUGGGACCAAUUCAAGCUUUAAAGGUUAUAAACAUUAUCUGCAAUCGAAGAUUCAAUAGGGAAAAAAACAACUACCCUUUAAUUCUGGCUACUCUCCUGCCCUACCUGAACUGCAGAUACUUGGCACGUUCGUGGCUGCUGCUUAGCCGUGGCUUGAAUCGGAGAUUCCAGCCGCUUCCGUGCACGCCACGUUACUUCUCCUCCCGGAGGCCCUGCCACUGUCAUAGUCCUGCAGGCACAGUGCUUCUAGGUGCUACAGCCAUGGAAAGUUCUGUUACCUGCAGUGUCCUCACUGGCCCAUUGGAGUUUCUUGAGCAGUAAAGGCAGGUUUGGCUUAAAUAUGGAUUAUGCUAAAAUAUUUAUGUUCUUUCAACAUAAAGCUAUCA